rnacentral:tRNA from 4 species
GCCAACGUAGCUCAGUGGUAGAGCAGCUGUUUCGUAAACAGCAGGUCGGCAGUUCAAUCCUGCCCGUUGGCUCCA